UUUUAUUCUAAGUUUUAGUUAUUUUGGUUGUGUAUUUAUUAUUAUUAGUUUUUUUGUUUAUUAAAUCAAGUUACACUAAAUCAAAAUAGAAGUGUUGCCUUGACAACUAUCUGAAAUGAAAUUUGAAGUUUAAGGUUGUUUUUUUAUUUUUAUUUUUAUUUUCAGUUAUUGUUUUUUGUAUUUCUAGUCACACAAAGGUUGUUUUUAUGAUUGUAGUUAGUGCUGGUGUGUGGUGAAUGUUCUUCUGUUCUCUGGGUCACAUGCCUUCACUCCAGCUGCUAAAGAAGAACGACCUCAUGCAGAUCACAGACGUCACCAGAGCUGUGAGCUAUCAUCAGCUUCCUCUAGACGCCUUCCUCGUGGCGCUGAAGAUGAUGAAGGUGGAAGAUGUGGACCUCGACGAGGUUCAGUGCAUCCUCGCGAACCUCAUCUACAUGGCUGAAUUAUUCAUAUUUUGAAUUACCUCAGCUCCCAGAAUGCACCUGUUACUCCACAAUCCCAUCAACCGCUGGUCCUCAGUGCUUCAUCUUCAUUUUACCUUCAACCAUUUUUUUUUUUUAAUGGUCAAAUAAAAAUAUCCCUGU